GACGAACGCUGGCGGCGUGCUUAACACAUGCAAGUCGAACGGAAAGGCCCUGCUUGCAGGGUACUCGAGUGGCGAACGGGUGAGUAACACGUGGGUGAUCUGCCCUGCACUUCGGGAUAAGCCUGGGAAACUGGGUCUAAUACCGGAUAGGAGCCAUUUUUAGUGUGAUGGUUGGAAAGUUUUUUCGGUGUAGGAUGAGCUCGCGGCCUAUCAGCUUGUUGGUGGGGUAAUGGCCUACCAAGGCGGCGACGGGUAGCCGGCCUGAGAGGGUGGACGGCCACAUUGGGACUGAGAUACGGCCCAGACUCCUACGGGAGGCAGCAGUGGGGAAUAUUGCACAAUGGGCGCAAGCCUGAUGCAGCGACGCCGCGUGGGGGAUGACGGCCUUCGGGUUGUAAACUCCUUUCGCUAGGGACGAAGCUUUUUGUGACGGUACCUAGAUAAGAAGCACCGGCUAAGUACGUG
rnacentral:rRNA from 1 species